CAGUGUCUGGAGCAUUCUUGGAUUGUGAGGGUUCAGGACUUUACCUUCUACAGAGUACUUGUAACCACAGCUGCCAGCCAAAUGCUGAGAUCACCUUCCCCUACAAUAACAACAUCAUGUCAGUAGUGGCAAAGGAAAGGAUUACCUCAGGUCAGGAGAUCUGUAUUGGUUAUCUGAGUGAGUGUGAUUUAUCAGAAGCCGACACAGUCGACAGAAAAUUCUUAAAGAAAAUUACCUUUUCAUUUGUGAAUGCCCAAAGUGUUUAAGUGAGGCAGAUGACCCGGAUGUGACGUCAUCAGAAGACGAAGAAGACAUGGAGGAAGAUCAGUAAAGGAAGCAAGAAAAUCUCAAAAUAUACAAUGUACUUUCAA